rnacentral:rRNA from 1 species
GACGAGGGGUCCUAGCGUUGCUCGGAAUUAUUGGGCGUAAAGCGCAUGUAGGCGGCUUUGUAAGUCAGGCGUGAAAUCCCUGGGCUCAACCCAGGACGUGCAUUUGAUACUGCAAAGCUUGAGUAUGGGAGAGGAUAGUGGAAUUCCUGGUGUAGUGGUGAAAUACGUAGAUAUCAGGAGGAAUACCGGUGGCGAAGGCGGCCACCUGGCCGGAUACUGACGCUGAGGCGCGAAAGCGUCGGGAGCAAACAGG